AGAGUUUGAUCCUGGCUCAGAGCGAACGCUGGCGGCAGGCUUAACACAUGCAAGUCGAGCGGGCGUAGCAAUACGUCAGCGGCAGACGGGUGAGUAACGCGUGGGAACGCACCUUUUGGUUCGGAACAACACAGGGAAACUUGUGCUAAUACCGAAUAAGCCCUUACGGGGAAAGAUUUAUCGCCGAAAGAUCGGCCCGCGUCUGAUUAGCUUGUUGGUGAGGUAACGGCUCACCAAGGCGACGAUCAGUAGCUGGUCUGAGAGGAUGAUCAGCCACAUUGGGACUGAGACACGGCCCAAACUCCUACGGGAGGCAGCAGUGGGGAAUAUUGGACAAUGGGCGCAAGCCUGAUCCAGCCAUGCCGCGUGAGUGAUGAAGGCCCUAGGGUUGUAAAGCUCUUUUGUGCGGGAAGAUAAUGACGGUACCGCAAGAAUAAGCCCCGGCUAUCUUCGUGCCAGCAGCCGCGGUAAUACGAAGGGGGCUAGCGUUGCUCGGAAUCACUGGGCGAUAAAGGGUGCGUAGGCGGGUCUUUAAGUCAGAGGUGAAAGCCUGAAGCUCAACUCCAGAACUGCCUUAGAUACUGGAGGAAUCUCGA
rnacentral:rRNA from 1 species